AAAUUGAAGAGUUUGAUCAUGGCUCAGAUUGAACGCUGGCGGCAGGCCUAACACAUGCAAGUCGAACGGUAACAGGAAGCAGCUUGCUGCUUCGCUGACGAGUGGCGGACGGGUGAGUAAUGUCUGGGAAACUGCCUGAUGGAGGGGGAUAACUACUGGAAACGGUGGCUAAUACCGCAUAACGUCGCAAGACCAAAGAGGGGGACCUUCGGGCCUCUUGCCAUCAGAUGUGCCCAGAUGGGAUUAGCUUGUUGGUGAGGUAACGGCUCACCAAGGCGACGAUCCCUAGCUGGUCUGAGAGGAUGACCAGCCACACUGGAACUGAGACACGGUCCAGACUCCUACGGGAGGCAGCAGUGGGGAAUAUUGCACAAUGGGCGCAAGCCUGAUGCAGCCAUGCCGCGUGUAUGAAGAAGGCCUUCGGGUUGUAAAGUACUUUCAGCGGGGAGGAAGGUGUUGUGGUUAAUAACCACAGCAAUUGACGUUACCCGCAGAAGA
rnacentral:rRNA from 1 species